rnacentral:rRNA from 8 species
AAAUUGAAGAGUUUGAUCAUGGCUCAGAUUGAACGCUGGCGGCAGGCCUAACACAUGCAAGUCGAACGGUAACAGGAAGCAGCUUGCUGCUUUGCUGACGAGUGGCGGACGGGUGAGUAAUGUCUGGGAAACUGCCUGAUGGAGGGGGAUAACUACUGGAAACGGUGGCUAAUACCGCAUAACGUCGCAAGACCAAAGAGGGGGACCUUCGGGCCUCUUGCCAUCAGAUGUGCCCAGAUGGGAUUAGCUAGUUGGUGAGGUAACGGCUCACCAAGGCGACGAUCCCUAGCUGGUCUGAGAGGAUGACCAGCCACACUGGAACUGAGACACGGUCCAGACUCCUACGGGAGGCAGCAGUGGGGAAUAUUGCACAAUGGGCGCAAGCCUGAUGCAGCCAUGCCGCGUGUAUGAAGAAGGCCUUCGGGUUGUAAAGUACUUUCAGCGGGGAGGAAGGUGUUGUGGUUAAUAACCACAGCAAUUGACGUUACCCGCAGAAGAAGCACCGGCUAACUCCGUGCCAGCAGCCGCGGUAAUACGGAGGGUGCAAGCGUUAAUCGGAAUUACUGGGCGUAAAGCGCACGCAGGCGGUCUGUCAAGUCGGAUGUGAAAUCCCCGGGCUCAACCUGGGAACUGCAUUCGAAACUGGCAGGCUUGAGUCUUGUAGAGGGGGGUAGAAUUCCAGGUGUAGCGGUGAAAUGCGUAGAGAUCUGGAGGAAUACCGGUGGCGAAGGCGGCCCCCUGGACAAAGACUGACGCUCAGGUGCGAAAGCGUGGGGAGCAAACAGGAUUAGAUACCCUGGUAGUCCACGCCGUAAACGAUGUCUACUUGGAGGUUGUGCCCUUGAGGCGUGGCUUCCGGAGCUAACGCGUUAAGUAGACCGCCUGGGGAGUACGGCCGCAAGGUUAAAACUCAAAUGAAUUGACGGGGGCCCGCACAAGCGGUGGAGCAUGUGGUUUAAUUCGAUGCAACGCGAAGAACCUUACCUGGUCUUGACAUCCACAGAACUUUCCAGAGAUGGAUUGGUGCCUUCGGGAACUGUGAGACAGGUGCUGCAUGGCUGUCGUCAGCUCGUGUUGUGAAAUGUUGGGUUAAGUCCCGCAACGAGCGCAACCCUUAUCCUUUGUUGCCAGCGGUUAGGCCGGGAACUCAAAGGAGACUGCCAGUGAUAAACUGGAGGAAGGUGGGGAUGACGUCAAGUCAUCAUGGCCCUUACGACCAGGGCUACACACGUGCUACAAUGGCGCAUACAAAGAGAAGCGACCUCGCGAGAGCAAGCGGACCUCAUAAAGUGCGUCGUAGUCCGGAUUGGAGUCUGCAACUCGACUCCAUGAAGUCGGAAUCGCUAGUAAUCGUGGAUCAGAAUGCCACGGUGAAUACGUUCCCGGGCCUUGUACACACCGCCCGUCACACCAUGGGAGUGGGUUGCAAAAGAAGUAGGUAGCUUAACCUUCGGGAGGGCGCUUACCACUUUGUGAUUCAUGACUGGGGUGAAGUCGUAACAAGGUAACCGUAGGGGAACCUGCGGUUGGAUCACCUCCUUA